UUAGACUCUGAUCGAUAUG
rnacentral:snRNA from 1 species